UCGUGGUCUCUGAGCAGCCCAGCUUUUGAGAAAGCAAGCCUCUUCGAUUUCUGAGAUCGGCCUUCGUGGUCUUUGAGCAGCCCAGCUUUUGAGAAAGCAAACGCCUCUUCGAUUUCUGAGAUCGACCCUCGUGGUCUCUGAGCAGCCCAGCUUUUGAGAAAGCAAACGCCUCUUCGAUUUCUGAGCAGGCGCCUUUUCGAUUUCUGAAGCUUCGUCGAGUGCAGAUUUUUAUAGGGGCUGACAUUAAGUUCCAAAGCACACUUGAAUAUCCACCAGUAGAAGCUCCAUUCUUGCACUUCUAAGAUCUUGAUUUGUCCGACCUCUUCUCUCUUCAACACCUUUGAAAAUGUCUGGCCCCUCCG
rnacentral:lncRNA from 1 species